ACACUGACGUCGCGACGCAUAUCAAUAAGCGGAGGAAAAGAAACUAACAAGGAUUCCCUUAGUAACGGCGAGUGAAGCGGGAAGAGCUCAAAUUUGAAAUCUUCAAGGUUCUACCUUGACGAAUUGUAGUUUAAAGAAGUGCUUUCUGUUAGAUGAGUAGCAAAAGUUCCUUGGAAUAGGACAUCAUAGAGGGUGAGAAUCCCGUAUUUGGUCAUUCCUUCUAGCUUUGUGAUACACUUUCAAAGAGUCGGAUUGUUUGGGAAUGCAGUCCAAAAUGGGUGGUAAAUUUCAUCUAAAGCUAAAUAUUGGCGAGAGACCGAUAGCGAACAAGUACCGUGAGGGAAAGAUGAAAAGAACUUUGAAAAGAGAGUUAAACAGUACGUGAAAUUGUCAAAAGGGAAGCGUUUGACACCAGUGUUGUUUUUCCGAAAAUCAAUUAUAAAUGUUUUGUUUCUGAGGAGUGAUGACUUCAUCGGCUUCCUUCUCUCUUCACGAAACUUUUGUAAUGCACUUUUCGGUUAACAAGUCAACAUCAAUUUCUUUUGUUGUAAAAGAGUAUUCGGAAGGUGGCUUUCUUUUCGGAGAAAGUGUUUAUAGCCCUAUACUUCUACAAUCGGAGAGAUUGAGGUCUGCAGCGUAGAUCCUUCGGGGUUAGAUACACUUGUGCUAAGUUAUAGCUUUUCAUAGACAACUUGUUGACUAUGUUUAGUCAUGCGGCUUACUCGCUUAUGCUAUUUUACCUACGCUUAGGAUGUUGAGUCGUAGAGCACGCAG
rnacentral:rRNA from 1 species